UACGUAGGUGGCAAGCGUUGUCCGGAUUUAUUGGGUUUAAAGGGUGCGUAGGCGGUUCUCUAAGUCAGUUGUGAAAUACUUCAGCUUAACUGGAGAGGUGCAAUUGAUACUGGAGAACUUGAGUACUGAUGAGGUCGGCGGAAUGGACGGUGUAGCGGUGAAAUGCUUAGAUAUCGUCCAGAACACCGAUAGCGAAGGCAGCUUACUAAGGAGUAACUGACGCUGAGGCACGAAAGUGUGGGGAUCAAACAGG
rnacentral:rRNA from 1 species